UAUUCUCUGCGUAGGGUACAGAGGUUAAGAUGUUCUAUCUUUCAGACCUUUAUUUCACUUAUAGUGAUGAGCCAAAUUCUGGCGCCUCAGCAACUUGUUUGCUGAGGCUUUUUUUU
rnacentral:other from 15 species